AUGAAUUAUCUAAGCUGGAACUGCCGGGGGCUUGGGAACCCCGAGGCAGUUCGAGAGCUUCGCAAGAUUGUGAAGCAAGAAGGGCAUUCCCUAGUUUUUGUUAUGGAAACAAAGAUUAGGGCGACAAGGGUGGAAAGCUUAAAGCACUCACUUGGGUUUGCGGGAUGUUUCGCGGUUGAUAGUAUUGGUCUCAGUGGUGGAAUUGGAUUGUUUUGGUCCAAGGAC
rnacentral:rRNA from 1 species